rnacentral:misc_RNA from 1 species
UGAGAGUAAAAGACUAAGAAAAGAACGGUAGUAGGAGUGAAUGCCUAUGUUACUCUACUCAGAUCACUUUCUCUAGUUACCGGUGUCAUUUUGCUGCUGUUCUGGCGCUUCGUCUUACUUUUGGGGAUUUUAGUUUCAUCGAUGGUGGUGCCUAGACGAAUUCUGCCAGUUCCUUCCCUAUUAUUUAGUGCCAGUUUCGUACAUGACAACUGCUAUCAGCCUUUCUCUUAACACAUACUGAGAUUUGAUUUCCUCAUUUAAUCACAUAGAGACGAAAAGUACUCGCAGAAACCUCUCCAUUAUAUAAAACUACCACCACCUUAAACAUAGAUCUGCAUACAUUCAUAUUUCUCUCUCUCUCUCUCUACACACACACAUAUAUAUUUAUAUACGUAUAUAUCGGAUUUUCAAAUACCCUUGCCCCACGUAAGAGGAAAGGAACAUGAUUCAUAGGAUGUCACUCACAUCUCCUUGAAUAAGGAGGCACAGUCUAUUUGCCCUACUAAAAUAAUAUCAAUUAAAAAAACAGGAAUAUUUGAGAAACGCCAGAAAUAUUUCAAGUUCAAUUGAAACAAAUACCAUGACAGAUGUAGAUGUUAACUCUCAUCUCCAGGACUUCAUAGCAAGUGGACGUACUGGACGGCGGAAUGCCCUGACUAACAUCAUACAAGAUGGACUUUCAAAAGUCAGCACAGGUGAUCUACCUUACGAACUAGAAAAGUUAAAGUGCACAGAUGAUGACCAACCACCAAGAAUGGACACUACGAGCAUUGCAUCAACAAGUGGAAGCAACGCAGAUUCAGCAUCAAUAUCAUCAGCAUCAUCAUCAUCAACAUAAUCAUAGCUUUAUACAUCUACCAUUGCAACAAUGAUUUUUCACAUGAGACAGUUCAAAAAACUUUUUAAAGUAAAACAUCGUUGGAAAGAGGGUGACACUGCUAAAAAUGGUGGCAUUUGGGUUCCACUGC